AAAAAUGUUUACGAUAUAUAAUAAAUACUUCAUAAAAAGUAUUAGUAAAAUUUCUUAUGUAUAUUAAAAUAAUUACCAUAUUUCAAUUUUUUUUUCAUGUAAUCAUGACAGUCAUUUGUAAUAAAGUUUUUUGAUUAAAUUUUUUUUUUUUUUUUUUUUUUAAGUAUUAUAUUAUAUAAUAUACGAAUUCGUAAUAAUCAAGGAAUAGAUGUAAAUAAAUAGCUAUAUACGACAUAUACUAAAUUUAAAUUACAUAGGCGCAUAUAUAUUUACGUAUUUAUGCAAUUAUAUAUGUUUGUACAACAUUAUCUAUAUACCUAUUCUAAAUGUACAAUUAACACAAUACCAUGCAUUAUAUUAUGAAAAAAAAAAAAAUAGAAAAAAAAAAAAAAAAAAAGAUAUUUUUUUUUUUUUUUUUUAAAGAUGUUAAGAGUGGCAGAAAAUGCCAAUAGUAACGUUCACAAUGAAGGAUAUGAUUAUAUACAUAAAAAAAUCAGAAAAAAAUUUAUUUUUAUAUAUUUAAUAGCUGUAGGUGGUUUUUCUUAUGUAUAUAAAAUUAAAAAAAAAAAAAAAAAAAAAAAAAAAAAAAAAAAAAAAGAAACAACAGUAACAGUAACAGCAACAACAACAUUGGUAAGGAGUAUAAUAAGCAAUUUGAAGAUAAAUCAUCUUAUUAUGGGUCCAAAU
rnacentral:lncRNA from 1 species